ACAAACUUGGUCAUUUAGAGGAAGUAAAAGUCGUAACAAGGUCUCCGUAGGUGAACCUGCGGAGGGAUCAUUACUGAGUGAGGGUGAAUUGACACCCGACCUCCAACCCUUUGUGAUUAAGACCUCUGUUGCCUCGGGGGCGACCCAUUCGGGGCCCCCGACGGACCAUUUCAAAACGCUGUAUCUAUGCGUCGAAUUCAAUAAAGUUAAAUAAUCAAAACUUUCAACAACGGAUCUCUUGGUUCUGGCAUCGAUGAAGAACGCAGC
rnacentral:misc_RNA from 1 species